rnacentral:rRNA from 1 species
GCUUGCCUACGGGACGCAGCAGUGAGGAAUAUUGGUCAAUGGUCGGGAGACUGAACCAGCCAAGCCGCGUGAGGGAGGAAGGUACAGAGUAUCGUAAACCUCUUUUGUCAGGGAACAAAGACUGGGACGCGUCCCCGGAUGAGUGUACCUGAAGAAAAAGCAUCGGCUAACUCCGUGCCAGCAGCCGCGGUAAUACGGAGGAUGCGAGCGUCAUCCGGAUUUAUUGGGUUUAAAGGGUGCGCAGGCGGUCUGUUAAGUCAGCGGUCAAAGCCCGGGGCUCAACCCCGGCCCGCCGUUGAAACUGG